GUGCCAGCAGCCGCGGUAAUACGGAGGAUCCAAGCGUUAUCCGGAUUUAUUGGGUUUAAAGGGUGCGUAGGCGGCUUUUUAAGUCAGGGGUGAAAGACGGUAGCUCAACUAUCGCAGUGCCCUUGAUACUGAAGAGCUUGAAUGAACUAGAGGUAGGCGGAAUGUGACAAGUAGCGGUGAAAUGCAUAGAUAUGUCACAGAACACCGAUUGCGAAGGCAGCUUACUAUGGUUUAAUUGACGCUGAGGCACGAAAGCGUGGGGAUCAAACAGGAUUAGAUACCCUGGUAGUCCACGCCCUAAACGAUGAAUACUCGCUGUUAGCGAUACACAGUUAGCGGCUAAGCGAAGGCGUUAAGUAUUCCACCUGGGGAGUACGGUCGCAAGAUUGAAACUCAAAGGAAUUGACGGGGGCCCGCACAAGCGGAGGAGCAUGUGGUUUAAUUCGAUGAUACGCGAGGAACCUUACCCGGGCUUGAAAGUUAGUGAAUCAUUUAGAGAUAGAUGAGUCCGCAAGGACACGUAACUAGGUGCUGCAUGGCUGUCGUCAGCUCGUGCCGUGAAGUGUUGGGUUAAGUCCCACAACGAGCGCAACCCCUAUGUUUAGUUGCCAGCACGUCAUGGUGGGGACUCUAGACAGACUGCCUGUGCAAACAGAGAGGAAGGAGGGGACGACGUCAAGUCAUCAUGGCCCUUACGUCCGGGGCUACACACGUGCUACAAUGGGUGGUACAGAGGGCAGCAAGCUGGCAACAGCAAGCCAAUCUCCAAAAGCCAUUCACAGUUCGGAUAGAGGUCUGCAACUCGACCUCUUGAAGUUGGAUUCGCUAGUAAUCGCAUAUCAGCAAUGAUGCGGUGAAUACGUUCCCGGGCCUUGUACACACCGUCCGUCAAGCCAUGGAAGUUGGGGGUACCUAAAGUAUGUAACCGCAAGGAGCGUCCUAGGGUAAAACCGAUAACUGGGGCUAAGUCGUAACAAGGUAACCGU
rnacentral:rRNA from 1 species